CCUACGGGUGGCAGCAGUGGGGAAUAUUGCACAAUGGUCGAAAGCCUGAUGCAGCAACGCCGCGUGAGGGCAGAAGGGUUUCGGCUCGUAAACUUCUAUCAACAGGGACGCAAGAAAUGACGGUACCUGCAUAAGAAGCCCCGGCCAAAUACGGGCCAGCAGCCGCGGGAAUACGUUGGGGGCAAGCGUUAUCCGGAAUUACUGGGGGUAAAGGGUGAGUAGGCGGCAUGGUAAGGCAGAUGGGAAAGCCUUGGGCUUAACCCGAGGAUUGCAGUUGGAACUGUCAAGCUAGAGUACAGGAGAGGAAAGCGGAAGUCCUAGUGUAGCGGUGAAAUGCGUAGAUAUUAGGCAGAACACCAGUGGCGAAGGCGGCUUUCUGGACUGAAACUGACGCUGAGGCACGAAAGCGUGGGGAGCGAACAGGAUUAGAUACCCCAGUAGUC
rnacentral:rRNA from 1 species